ensembl:lncRNA
CUUUAUCAAAUGAGAAAGCACCGCGCACGGCGGCGCAGGUGCGCGGCGGGUACCUUGGUCUCGGGCGGGCUGGGCACGGUGGCCGGUGGCGGACGGUGGAGGUUCUGUGGUUCGUUCUCCUUUUCGCUGAUCUCCGUCAUAUCGGGUUCAGCAAACGCUCCGUCGGCAAGCGAGUCCCAGAUGGAGACGUCCACAGUGGUGCGGGGGGGUGUGGGGGGGUACUAUGCACGCAGAGGUUUAAACAUCGCCACGGUCCGACGAGGUAGAGCUGCAGUUUGCAACUGUCAAGUCAUCUUUCAUCGCGAUGAUGCGAUAUCCCGCGUGUGUGUGUGUUUGGGGGGGGGGCUUCUUCUUUCUGCUACGGUGUUUUUUUUUGGGGAUGGGGCUGGUGCCGGUCGGUCCGUCCACUUCUCCUCCUCGCCGUCUCGAUCCUCUCGCUGGCAAACACACACGCGCUCCCACAACAACUUUGAUUUUCCCCGUGACGAGCGGCCCGGCUCGUUCUGAUUGGUCCACACGUCUGAGAGCUCGCCAGGUGGGACCUGUCGGGCGCGUCCCGAUUGGCUCGCAGAGGAUGACGUUUGGAGAGAGGCCCGGCGACAGCCUGCAGAGAACACCAGCAGCGAGGCAAUGGUGGCUGAUUCAGCACCACGGACAGCUCCCCGCUGCCUGCCUGCCUGCCUCUGCAUGUGUGACUGUUCAUCAACCCCCCCUCCCUCCAUUAAACGCACCAGACUACGGUUCUUUUUAACCGAGGCACUGCGAAUUGUAUUUGUUGUACAGCGUGUACUGUAUUCCACUAGUGUGAGCUAAAUAUAGA